rnacentral:rRNA from 1 species
CACGUAGGGUGCGAGCGUUGUCCGGAAUUAUUGGGCGUAAAGAGCUCGUAGGCGGUGUGUCGCGUCGGCCGUGAAAACUCGGGGCUUAACCCCGGGCCUGCAGUGGGUACGGGCAGACUAGAGUGCGGUAGGGGAGACUGGAAUUCCUGGUGUAGCGGUGAAAUGCGCAGAUAUCAGGAGGAACACCGGUGGCGAAGGCGGGUCUCUGGGACGGUACUGACGCUGAGACGCGAAAGCGUGGGGAGCGAACAGG